GGAGAGGUGGCCGAGUGGCUUAAGGCACAUCUUUGCUAAAGAUGCGUAGGAGUGAUCCUACCGGGGGUUCGAAUCCCCCCCUCUCCGCCA
rnacentral:tRNA from 1 species